GGGCAGCCCUGGGAGGCGGGGUUAGGGGGCGGGGUUGGGGCGGGGGCUCACCCUCGCCGCUGCUGCUCACGUCCGGUUUUGUCUCGGCUGAAAUAAACCCUAAAGAGAGAAGUUCUAAAGUUUCAUCUGGUUGAAAGUCUUGGUGGUUUAAUGUGUGGCACCUCUCAGACCUCAGAGAGAAGCCUGGGGCUCGAACUCCCAACCCUGAGACCAAGCAUGACAUGCUUCACAGUCUGAGCAAGACUCCAGGAACUGAGUCUUGCAGAUAGGGGAAGAAGAUUGCUGGUGGAGGCGAGAGCACGAACCCUAAGAGAGAGAGAGCAUGCACAAACAGAGGCAGCAGCUGGGCGGAAGGAGCAGCAGAAUCCCUGCUGAGCAGAAAACCCUGCAUAGGUCCAUCCCAGGACCCUGGGAUCAUGACCCUGGCUGAAGGCAUAUGAUUAAUUAACUGAGCCACCCAGGUGUCCCCCCCCUUUUUUUUUAGGUGCCUCCUUUUAAAGGACACUCAGGAUCAAGGACAGUGUCUUCUUUCAUCACUAAAACUUGUUUCCAGUGAGUAUAGGUUACGUAUGGUCUCCUAAUUUAUCUCAGAAUAUUCUAGUGUUUUGCCAAUUUCUAUAAAAACAGAAAAUACAAUAAAACUUUGAUAAAUUUA